rnacentral:rRNA from 1 species
AGCUCCAAUAGCGUAUAUUAAAGUUGUUGCAGUUAAAAAGCUCGUAGUUGGAUUUCGGAGUGGGCGAGUUGGUCCGCCGCAAGGUGUGUUACUGGCUCGUUUGCUCUUCUUUGCAAAGAAUGCGUGUGCUCUUCGUUGAGUGUGCGUAGGAUUUACGACGUUUACUUUGAAAAAAUUAGAGUGUUCAAAGCAGGCUAUUGCUUGAAUACAUGAGCAUGGAAUAAUGGAAUAGGACUUUGGUCCCAUUUUGUUGGUUUCUAGGACCGAAGUAAUGAUUAAGAGGGACAAUUGGGGGCAUCCGUAUUUCGUUGUCAGAGGUGAAAUUCUUGGAUUUACGAAAGACGAACAGCUGCGAAAGCACUUGCCACGAGUGUUUUCA